rnacentral:rRNA from 1 species
CCUACGGGAGGCAGUAGUGAGGAAUAUUGGUCAAUGGACGGAAGUCUGAACCAGCCAUGCCGCGUGCAGGAUGACGGCUCUAUGAGUUGUAAACUGCUUUUGUACGAGAAUAAUAGUUCUUACGUGUAGGGAUUUGAAUGUAUCGUACGAAUAAGGAUCGGCUAACUCCGUGCCAGCAGCCGCGGUAAUACGGAGGAUUCGAGCGUUAUCCGGAUUUAUUGGGUUUAAAGGGUGCGUAGGCGGACAGUCAAGUCAGCGGUAAAAAUGCGGUGCUCAACGCCGUACAGCCGUUGAAACUGGCAGUCUUGAGUGGGCGAGAAGUAUGCGGAAUGCGUGGUGUAGCGGUGAAAUGCAUAGAUAUCACGCAGAACUCCGAUUGCGAAGGCAGCAUACCGGCGCCCGACUGACGCUGAGGCACGAAAGCGUGGGUAUCGAACAGGAUUAGAUACCCGUGUAGUC